rnacentral:lncRNA from 1 species
AGAUGCGAGACUUCGAGACUGCAACUUGUAAAAGAAAAAUAAUUAGAUUGUUCUAAUCAUUUUGAUUAAAGAUUAAAUAAUUAGAUUGUUCUAAUCAUUUUGAGAGAGUAGUAAAUACUAAUAGUAAUGUUAUUAUACUCACCAUGGCAAUAGAAUUUCAUACUGACUAUCCAACUAGAAUACACAACGUCAUCAUUUUAUAUUCAAAUGGGUUACUUAAGUAAAUCUAUAUUUACAACCACCUGGCCUCAAUUUCAUUCAUGCCUCAGCAGUCAGCUCCUUGUUAAAAUUGACCAGUUUUAAGUUUUAACUCUUCUAAAAGUUGCUUCGCAUACAUUAUUUCUUCGGUGAUAUUCCCAAACAUUUACAAACCUACAUAUAUACAACGAGGAGCAUAUAUAUAUAUAUAUACACACUGUGUAAUGUGUAUGUACAGUAUAAUGUUGGGCAUAUAUAUUUUACGCCAAAGCUGCACACAAUAAUUAACUACACUUGCAUGGUCAGAGGUAAUCAGCAUGCAUGCAUGAUACAUCCCUUGUUUAUUAACAUGUACUGUAUGAACCAUGCUGAAGAUGGAUGAUAUACAUAUAUGAUACAUUUAUAAUGAUAUAAUAAAGAUGAAAACCACAUUGUGGGAACUUUGGAAGUCCUAAGGAAAAACGAGUAUAAGUAUGGAAACAGGAGAUUAACUUAAACGUACAGCCGUAUACGGGUUUUGUUGAAGACCUCACCAGGUUUGAACCUCCAAAGUAUAUAUAUUUGUAUUGUAUUUUGGAGGAUCGCCUGGGGCAUGAGGGGAUAUCUUUUUGAUGUCUCUAUUCCAUUGUGCCAUGGGAAGAUUAACUCGGGAAGGUAGCCUUAGUUAAGAGAGGAGGUACAUGGUAGCGUAACCCUCGCCAAAUCUUAUUCCAAAGUGUUAUUCCAUCAAACCUUGUUAUGUUUAUUUGCACCCGAAAAUUAUUUCAGGGUGGUUUAGUACACCACAAUGUAGUUCUUAUCAAUUCAACUCUCAACACAAGGUGUUUGAAAAAUUGAAAAAUUGAAAUUCUGCGCUACCAAACCAAAUACUGUGUAUAUAAGUUAGUUUUUAAAUUAAAAUUUUAAAUCCAAAACAAACUUCAUAACCUGGUCCUUGGCCUAUAUUCUUGUUAUCUUAUUAAGACUUAUAAUGACCUCAAAUCACAAUAGUGCUCAAUUAUCAUCAUAAAAAGGAGAAAGCUUAUGGAUUAAGCCAUAAUUCACGUUGUUACCAUAUUUGAAGUUUUGAACAACUACAAUAUACAAUAGACAUAAUCCUCCAGUUCAUGCAUCAUAUUAACCAUCUGUAUAAUCUUUCCUUUAGUCUUUCCAUUUAUUCCUUUCAUCAUCCUCCUUUUUGCAGCAUUGAAUUUUUUUAUAAGUAUACAGCUUCCUGAUUCAAAAGUAAUAAUUUUGGUGUUUUCUCGCAAGAUAGUCGUGUCUGUGAAGUAGCAAUUGCAAAUCUACUUGUGCAAUAUAAAUUAUGUAAGCAAGAGCAUUCACCUGCUAUCUGGAUCUUCUAGUGUCGUUUUCACCUCUUCAGGAAGAUGCGCUAACCUGGAAAAAAAGAAAAGAAAAGAAAAAAGAGCGCCUUCAAAAACGUUUACGGUUCCAAAUCUUUGUCCUCAACCCUUCCCAACCCCCCCACACCACCCCCCACCCCACCCACACACACACCCAUUCUUUCCCACACAUACACACACAACCCAAGAAUAAAAAACCUGGGUGAAAGAUGAAGGAGAUUACGGCGCAAUGAAGAAAAUCCAGGGACCUAUAAGAAAAAGAGGACAUGAUUAACAAAACUAGAGGAAUACAAAGCUAACACAGCUAAACAAAUUUGGGAUAAAGAAAGCCAUAUAUUCUUAUCUCAAACCAAUACUGUACAUACAUAUGAAACAUCAUAUAGACAUAUACCAUGUCAUU